rnacentral:tRNA from 1 species
CACCAUAUAGCUCAUUUGGUAGAGCACCUGACUAGAGAUUCAGGGAGGCCAGGUUCAAAUCCCGGUCUUGUCC